rnacentral:rRNA from 1 species
GACGAACGCUGGCGGUGCGCCUAACACAUGCAAGUCGAACGGUGAAGCGGGCUUCGGCCCAUGGAUCAGUGGCGAACGGGUGCGUAACACGUGGGCAACCUGCCCCUCACUCUGGGAUAACUCCGGGAAACCGGGGCUAAUACCGGAUACUCCGGCCGAACCGACUGGCCCAGCCGGGAAAGGUCCGCUGGUGAGGGAUGGGCCCGCGGCCUAUCAGCUUGUUGGUGGGGUAACGGCCUACCAAGGCGACGACGGGUAGCUGGUCUGAGAGGACGACCAGCCACACUGGGACUGAGAUACGGCCCAGACUCCUACGGGAGGCAGCAGUGGGGGAUCUUGCGCAAUGGGCGAAAGCCUGACGCAGCGACACCGCGUGAGGGACGAAGGCCCUCGGGUUGUAAACCUCUUUCGGCAGGGACGAAGCGAUCGUGACGGUACCUGCAGAAGAAGCUCCGGCUAACUACGUGCCAGCCGCCGCAGUAAAAC